rnacentral:lncRNA from 1 species
GAUUGUCUACAGGAAGUACAUAUUCACUCGCUUCUUCAGGGUCUCCAGACCUGUGGGCAGGCGAGGGCAGCCCAGGUCUAGAACAUGACCUUGAGAAUGAGAAGGCUUAAAGCUGGAAUCAGUAUGAACAAGCUCACUUGGACAACAGACCUGCAGCCACCUGUUCCAAUCUGGCUUCUAUCAGCAAUCAAGGUAAUAACUUACAAGA